rfam:Eubacterium sp. CAG:192 genomic scaffold, scf263
AAAGUUCUUCGGGGUAAGGUGCAAUUCCUAACCGGCUGUGAUUGCUUAAGCAUAAGUCAGCGAGCCUAUUGGCAUGAUAUGGUGAGAAUCCAUAACCGACAGUAAAGUCUGGAUGAGAGAAGAUAGAA